UACGUAGGGUGCGAGCGUCGUCCGGAAUUAUUGGGCGUAAAGGGCUCGUAGGCGGUUUGUCGCGUCGGGAGUGAAAACCCAGGGCUUAACCCUGGGCUGGCUUCCGAUACGGGCAGACUAGAGGUAUGCAGGGGAGAACGGAAUUCCUGGUGUAGCGGUGAAAUGCGCAGAUAUCAGGAGGGACACCGGUGGCGAAGGCGGUUCUCUGGGCAUUACCUGACGUGAGGAGCGAAAGUGUGGGGAGGCGAACAGG
rnacentral:rRNA from 1 species